UUAGUGCACUGAAGCUGAUUUCCAUGUUACCAGCUGCUGUUAGAAGUAAUUCUAAAAUUCAAGUUGACAAUUUCUUAGUUCUUCAAUUCUACUCUAAUUGAGAUGAUGGGCCCUGCUUCCAACCUAAACUAGAUCAGACUCUGUGAUAUAAGAGGAGCCUUCAAUUAUGUAAAAAAAACUAUAUACAAGAUGUGGGUGUAUUCUACUCCCAUUUCUUUUAAGUGGAAAAGGAAAUGAACUUCAUCUGCACAAAGGAUACUCAUGCUUGAUGAGUUAGCCAGUGAAACCACUCAAUGUCCUUCUCAAGAAGGAACUAAAAAUAAGGGGUCCUAAUUUAUUAGGUGCUUGAAAGUUGGCUCUGGCCAGCUUCCUGGACAGGAAGUUGGCAAGAUGAAUCUUUAAAAUCCAUCCCAUUUCAGGAACGUGUAUUGUGCUAAUCUUUGGCCUGAAGUGCAUCCAAUCCAAUGCUGGACAGUGUCCAAACUCAUUCAUUUAACAGCCGACAUUUGUUAAGGGUUUACUAUGUGCCAGGUCCUGUGUUAGGCUUGGGGACAGAUUGGAAGAAGGUUUCUGCCUUUGAGGGGUGUGAUAAACGCUUUCAUGGAGGGAAGUAGUAAUUUCAAUAGGAAUCCGAAAGAAAGCAUGACUGGCUUCAUCGGUGGAUUCAGUGUUCAAGAAAGCUGGGGGCCAAAUCCUUGGAUAAAUGGCAAGUGGUCUAGAUGUAAACAUUAUCCAUGACAGUUAACAUUUCUGAAAGGUGCCUAUUGGUAAAUUGAUUCUUCUUAGUGUCUCAGAAAAAGCAACUUAUCUGUGGAGAUUGAAUUACUCAAUGUUCUAUUCCCUAUUAUUCUUAAGAAAUAGUACCAUAUCUGUAUCCCUUUUGUCAAAACUCCAUUCAUGUAAGAUCUCAUCUGUUAUUCCUGGCUGCAGAAAGCAAAGCUGACUAGAAUUCCAGUCUUAUAAAAAAGGAAACUGAGAUGUAGAGAAGAUACUUUUUGGUUAGGUUGUUCGGCUGAGGUUAAAUAAGUGACAUAUGAACUAGAACUGGAAGCCAAGUGUCACCUAUCUCAAGUCCAGAGCUCCUUACAAAGCUUUGUUUGAUAAAAUUGACAAUAAAUUCAUAAUUCUACAAUAGGGAACUAUGGCUAGGGCAUCUGUCUGAGCAAAGGAAGGAGGGCCUUGGUGCUUGAGAAAAACUUGCCAGUUAUGGGCAGGCUAAAAGUCACACUAAGUUACUGCAAAUUGUAGAGCACUUUGGGGUGAGUUCCUCCUGCCUGAUGCAUUUUAUAAGUAGCUGAGUUCCAAGUUCCAGCCAUAUUGUUUCUCUCUCUUAUGAUGACAAUCAGUGCCAGAACAAGGAACAAAUAGGAGGUAGCUAUGGCAGGAUCAAAGGAAAGCCUGAGACCACUCCAAGACCUCAUGGGGCCUAAUGAGGACUAGGGGAGGAACCCACCACCUGGUGAAAGCUCCGGGGCUUGCACUCUGCAGGCAAUACACAUCUGAGCCAAGAAGGGUGGCAAGACCAGAACUCAUGGACUUAUCCACUUCUCAUGGCUUCCUCUAGUAGUUCCUCAAGUUUUCAUAGGGGAGAGAGGGACUGUUCCAUAAGUCCAUCAAGAGAGUUUCAGAACAGCAAAAACACUUCUUUGUCAUCAAAACAGUAAUCAUAAAGGAAAGGAAGACAACUCACCACAGACUACAGAAGCUUUAGAAGCAAAUGAAACUAAUAAGACCAUGUUUAUUGAAGUGCCAAGUCAGAUGACAACACUGGAUUAUGUAAGAUUGUGACUAAGUACCAGUAAUAUAUUAAGUGUCAUGAAGGUCUCAUCGAUGAAUGAGAGGAACGUUAGUGGACAUUACUAAUCUGUAUUAAAAAGCUACCCAUCAGGACAGCCUGGGAAUGAAGACUAAUCCAAGGGAAAAUGUGACAAUGUCUGCACAUGGGCCUGUGAAGGGAAUAAUCUCAAAAUCAUUAACAAGACCCUACUUAAUGUUAUAUAUGUGUGUGUGCAAAUUUUUCUUUUCUCAAUUUUACAUUUUUCUACAUUUUUUUCAGUGAAUUAUAAGCCAUUUGAAGCAGAGAUAAGCCCAUUGUUUCCUAUGUAAUAACUAAGAAUAAACCUUUUCUCUCGGAAAA